GGAAGUAAAAGUCGUAACAAGGUUUCCGUAGGUGAACCUGCGGAAGGAUCAUUGUCGAAACCUUCAAAGUAGACCCGCGAACACGUGUUUAACUCACUCGGGCACCGCGCCCUGCCGGACAAGACGCUCGCGUCGACCGCAAGGCAACGUCCCUCUCCCGAAAGACGCUCGCGUCGAUCGGGUUAACGAACCCCGGCGCAAAUCGCGCCAAGGAAAACUAAAUGAAGUGUCGCUACCAUUCGAGUGACCGUUUUGCGGACCCAUUCAUUUGGUCGGGGCAUCUCUGUAUGUCAAAACGACUCUCGGCAACGGAUAUCUCGGCUCUCGCAUCGAUGAAGAACGUAGCAAAAUGCGAUACUUGGUGUGAAUUGCAGAAUCCCGUGAAUCAUCGAGUCUUUGAACGCAAGUUGCGCCCGAAGCCUUUAGGCCGAGGGCACGCCUGCGUGGGCGUCACGCAUCGCGUCGCCCCCUCACAAUCCCUUGGAAUGUGGACGGGGCGGAUAUUGGCAUCCCGUGACUUCAAUCGCACGGUUCGCCCAAAUGAGACGUCGCACCGUCGGAUGUCACGACUAUUGUUGGUUGAACUCUCUUCUUUAUAAUACGUCGUGGCGCAACCCGUUCGUUGCUCGUGCGUCUUGUAACCCAAUGGCUCGUUCUGUGCCUACGACCGCGACCCCACGUCAGGCGGGACUACCCGCUGAGUUUAA
rnacentral:rRNA from 1 species